GUGCAAUGAUGGAGAACAAAAUGUGGUUUCCUGAUUCCCAAUGAAGCCAUCUAUCUCUUGGCUGUGUCUGAGCAC